AAAAAAAAAAAAAAAAAGAAGUUUGGGAUGCAAUUUGACCAAAUAAAACUAGAAGAACUCAAUAAAAAAAAGGGACCAAAAGAUGUGUUUUGCCAUUAUGUACAUUAUCUGUAGUCAUGUUUCCUUGCUAUCUUGAUUCUUGAAUUGUGUGUGAAUAGAGCUGAGAAUAGUUUACACAGUCUGCUACCAGAUUGCUGAAACAGCUUCCUUUGACAUUGCAAUAUAUUUGUCACUUAUCAUCAUCGUCAUCAAAUCCUAAUGGCCCUUAGUGAAUGGCCUCCAUGCUAGGAUUGUUGUUUACUGCAAAAGAAUCAUUUCAUGCCACAGUUUUGAUUGCAAAAGAAUCUUUAAUCUUUGCAGGUGGAAUAUUGACAAUGACUGG
rnacentral:misc_RNA from 1 species